rnacentral:rRNA from 1 species
AUUGAACGCUGGCGGCAGGCCUAACACAUGCAAGUCGAGCGGAUGAAGGGAGCUUGCUCCUGGAUUCAGCGGCGGACGGGUGAGUAAUGCCUAGGAAUCUGCCUGGCAGUGGGGGAUAACGUCCGGAAACGGGCGCUAAUACCGCAUACGUCCUGAGGGAGAAAGUGGGGGAUCUUCGGACCUCACGCUCUCAGAUGAGCCUAGGUCGGAUUAGCUAGUUGGUGGGGUAAAGGCCUACCAAGGCGACGAUCCGUAACUGGCCUGAGAGGAUGAUCAGUCACCCUGGAACUGAGACACGGUCCAGACCACUACGGGAGGCAGCAGUCGGGAAGAUUUGAACAUGGGCUAAAGCCUGAUACAGCCAUGCCGCGUGUGUGAAGAAGGUCUUCGGCUUGUUAAGCACUUUAAGUUGGGAGGAAGGGCAGUAAGUUAAUACCUUGCGGUUUUGAGGUUACCCACAGAAUAGGCACCGGCUAACUACGUG